rnacentral:lncRNA from 1 species
CAAAUUCCAUAUCAAUAAUUGGUAACCAAGUAGGACGUGACUCGGAGAUGAUCGAUGACAUGUAAAGUCAUGCUCAAGCAUUUGUUAAAUUGAUAUCGUUCUAGUAGUAUAUAUGGUAUGGGAAUACUAGUAGUUAGUAAUACUAAUACAGCUGCUAGCUAGCUUAUGGUCAACAUGUCUGGCUGAGCGUUGUACCAAAAUAAUAAUAUCAGAGAAGUGAUACCGCCGCAGGCUACAUUUGAAACCAAGUUUCAACUUCGAAGAAGCCUACCAAGCAUGUUACCAUCAACAUUUAUAGAUCAUACAACUUCAGCAACUACCUCAGCUCCAUAUAUUGUUCCAUUACAAUAAUUCACAGGCGGCCCCCAAACCCGAACUAUAUAUAAUAUCUGGCCACCUAAGCCAAAGAAUACACACACAUCAGAAUAUACAGACAUGAGAUAUUUAGUUUCAUCCAAUAAUUGGCUUUGUUUUUCUUAUACAAAGAGAAAAUAUGGCAGCUGUCCUAAACUCCAAGGUGAAUGCAUGAUGGGGAAAGCUCAUAUAUGCAUGCACUUUCCUUUGACAACAGUGCCUAGCUCUUAUUACAUUGAGAUAUUUAUGAAAUAAUUUAGAUUCCAUACGUGUAUAGUAGAUGAACUAGAAUCUUAAUUAGUAGGGUUUAGUUUCGCUAGAGUUUAUAUUAAGUAAUUUGCAGACUAACUCAAAGUGUUUGGAGAAUUUUCCUCCUGGGUCAAUAGACGAGGGAAUGGUGCUGCGCGCGCAUAGUCGCAUAUAUACUAUAUAUGCUUGUUCAUUGGAACAAGAUGUUUUUUCUUUUCAACACCUUCUUUUCUUCAGCAGGCUACUAUAAAUAUCUGUAAUGUUUGAUUAGCUUUCUAUGUCGUUUCGAUUCAAAAAAAGAGAUUUGUAGACUAACUCAAAGUGGGAGGAUCCUAGAUAAUUGGCAACUUAGAAAGAGCCAUAUAUAACUUGACAGUUAAUAAUACCCAAUGUCCUCAGAUUAACACUCAAUUUAUAUAGUCGAUAUCAUGUAUGUCGUUGUUGGUCCAAACCGAUCUAUUGCCGUUACUUGUGCAACUUGGAAUCUCAUCUUCUCAUCCAUUGAACGAGUGGUCUCAGAGUAACUCUCUAUCUUCUUCUCUACAUAUAAACGAGCGACUUGAUUAGCUAGCUAGAGAGCUACUUGCAUGUUCGCAUCUGCACGAUCACAUCUUAAACAGAGAAAUAUAAUUAAGAUGUUUGAAUAUUCAAUUCUAGGAGCACAAUAUCUAUAUGAAAUUAUAUGUGUACGUACGUAGUGCCACGUUAAUAUAAAAAAGAAUGAUUAAGGAACACUGUUGCAUGUGGGUGAUUCACUACUAGAUUAACAAAUUAGUCGAGAAAAUUGUUAAUUAGCUUAAUUAACUGGUUAAUUAUAGUAUAUUAGUCAUGGUCUCCAAAGAGCUACGUACUCAUCAGACACAUAUAUACCUAUUUGCAUGGAGCUAGGAAGCCUUGUGCGUCAGUUGGGACAUAUUUUGACACAUGCCCUUUUUGAAAGAAGAGAUCGAGUUUAAUCAACGAUACAUGUAGCUCAGUUUGGUACGAAUCAUAUGUAUAUAUAGCAGCUGCAUGCAUGUUAGCUUAUGCCAAACCUAGUAUGCAACUAUAUGCAUGGCAGUUGGUGCGAGAUGAUCGAGAAUUAAUGCUGGGCCGCCUCAUUCGGCAUGAGGAGAGUAUUAUUGCAAUUGGAAAGCAAGGAGAAGGGGAAAGGAGACCCAAUAUGAUAUGAUAUAUCUCUUGGGGCCUGGCCCAAAUUAACAAACGAAAGUGCGGCAAGAAAAGAAAGAGACGAGGAUGAGCAAGUGGGGCACUCUCGAAAGAGAGAAAGGAACAACUAGCCAGUGCGCGCUUGGUUUUGUGACUUGUGAGGAGGUUCCAAACGUACGUCCCCCAACACAGAGCACAAGUUAGUUCCAAUGUGACCUCCUAAUUAGCCACCCCUUUCCCUAUUCCUCUCUAGCUUGCCAUUUGUUUCUGCUUCAUUUGGUCGAUCGGUUUGAUAUCUUGAAUGUAUGAUAUAUGCUUAAUUAACAUGUUAAUCCUGUACAAGCACCAGUGAUAUAUGAUGAUCGAAUAUAUGCCAACGCCAACGGCCAACCCCUUGAGGAGUUCAGGAGCAUUACUGAGACCUCGCUACAAAGCAGUGAUUCAUGAGCUAUAUAUAUGUAUACCUGCAGCGUCAUAAGAGGAAUGAAGUGGAGGUGGUGAUUUGAGUUAGAGAAGAACAAGGUUGGUACGACUGGUAUUGGCAGCAGCAGUGGCUUUUUGAGAGGAAAGGUUUCCCAGACACCGAAAGUGCGUGCAUGCUCUCUUCGCCAUCGUCCACUGCCACUACGAUUUUCUUCGUACUAAUAUCCCCUUCCAUCCUCUCUAUCUUAUGAAAUAAUAUGAAAAGUUGGAAGUUGAAAACUAACUCUUGAAAUUUUAAUGAAAGAUGUGAAAAGAACAGCUAACUACGUUAGAAAGAGACAUGAAAAGAUAUGAACAAGGAGAUGUCACCCCCCCACCCUAGCCUCAUUACUGUCUUUAUCAUCUCUUCGAUUCUAACGUACUUAUUGUGGUUCUUUUUUUUUUUGGAGUCCUCCUUCCUUAAAGUUACUUGCAUGGUUAAAU